rnacentral:rRNA from 1 species
CCCUUAGAUGUUCUGGGCCGCACACGCGCUACACUGAAGGAGGCAGCGUGUACUCCUGGAUCGAAAGAUUUGGGUAACCCGCGAAUCUCCUUCGUGCUAGGGAUUGAGGUUUGCAAUUAUCCUUCAUGAACGAGGAAUUCCCAGUAAGUGCAAGUCAUAAGCUUGCGCUGACUACGUCCCUGCCCUUUGUACACACCGCCCGUCACUACUACCGAUUGAAUGAUUUAGUGAGGACUUCGGACUGGGACCGAUGCGGCUUUCGGGCUGCGUCGGUAUUCUGGAAAGAUGUCCAAACUGUAUCAUUUAGAGGAAGUAAAANUCGUAACA